rnacentral:rRNA from 1 species
AAUAUUUGACAAUGGGCGAAAGCCUGAUCCAGCCAUGCCGCGUGUGUGAAGAAGGUCUNCGGAUUNUNAAGCACUUUAAGUUGGGNGGAAGGGUUGUAGGUUAAUACCCUGCAAUUUUGACGUUACCAACAGAAUAACCACCGGCUAACUUCGUGCCAGCAGCCGCGGUAAUACGAAGGGUGCAAGCGUUAAUCGGAAUUACGUGGCGUCAGGCGCGCGUAGGUGGUUCGUUAAGUUGGAAGUGAAAGCCCCGGGAUUAACCUGGGAAUUGCUUUCAAAACUGACGGGCUAGAGUACGGUAGAGGGUAGUGGAAUUUCCUGUGUAGCGGUGAAAUGCGUAGAUAUAGGAAGGAACAUCAGUGACGAAGGCGACUACCUGGACUGAUACUGACACUGAGGUGCGAAAGCGUGGGGAGCAAACAGG